GCGUGGAUGAUGAAGGCCUUAGGGUUGUAAAAUCCUUUCAACGGGGACGAUAAUGACGGUACCCGUAGAAGAAGCCCCGGCUAACUUCGUGCCAGCAGCCGCGGUAAUACGAAGGGGGCUAGCGUUGCUCGGAAUUACUGGGCGUAAAGCGCACGUAGGCGGAUAUUUAAGUCGGAGGUGAAAUCCCAGGGCUCAACCCUGGAACUGCCCUCGAUACUGGGUAUCUGGACCAAAGUAGAGGUAAGUGGAAUUCCGAGUGUAGAGGUGAAAUUCGU
rnacentral:rRNA from 1 species